UACGGGGGGGGCAAGCGUUGUUCGGAAUUACUGGGCGUAAAGGGCUCGUAGGCGGCCAACUAAGUCAGGCGUGAAAUCCCCAGGCUCAACCUGGGAACUGCGUCUGAUACUGGUUGGCUUGAAUCCGGGAGAGGGAUGCAGAAUUCCAGGUGUAGCGGUGAAAUGCGUAGAUAUCUGGAGGAAUACCGGUGGCGAAGGCGGCAUCCUGGACCGGCAUUGACGCUGAGGAGCGAAAGCGUGGGGAGCGAACAGG
rnacentral:rRNA from 1 species